rnacentral:tRNA from 1 species
GCCAAUGUAGCUCAGUUGGUAGAGCAGUUCAUUCGUAAUGAACGGGUCGCAGGUUCGAGUCCUGUCAUUGGCU